rnacentral:misc_RNA from 1 species
UUUCCGUAGGUGAACCUGCGGAAGGAUCAUUAAUGAGUUGUCAUGGGGUUCGAUGCUGGCAGCCAAUUUUUGGAUGCAUGUGCUUGCCCUAACAAUCAUCUUCCAAACACCUGUGCACAUUUUUGAGGGUGUCUUGAGUUGGUUGCCGCUCUUGGGUGAUUUUCUCACAUUCCCUUAAAUCAUUAUACGCUAUUAACAAUGUUGAACGUGCUCUGUGCCGCAAGGCUAUUAAUAUAGUACAACUUUUAACAACGGAUCUCUUGGCUCUC